rnacentral:tRNA from 2 species
GCUCGUGAAGGAUAGUAGUUAUCCAUUGGUCUUAGGAACCAAAACUCUUGGUGCAAAUCCAAGCACCAGCU